UACGUAGGGUCCAAGCGUUAAUCGGAAUUACUGGGCGUAAAGCGUGCGUAGGCGGUCUCGCAAGUCCGAUGUGAAAUCCCCGAGCUUAACUUGGGACUGCGUUGGAACUAUGAGGCUAGAGUGCGGCAGAGGGGGGUGGAAGUUCCAGGUGUAGCAGGUGAAAUGCGUAGAGAUCUGGAGGAACACCGAUGGCGAAGGCAGCCCCCUGGGCGUAGCACUGACGCUGAUACACGAA
rnacentral:rRNA from 1 species